UCUUAUAUCCUUUUCACUUACCGACAUCGAGCAAAGAAGGAUCGAGAUGUAUAUAUUGAUUCAUAUUCUGAAUAUUUCAGAAAAAAUUGUCUAUGUCUGAUCAAUACUUUUUGGCAACACUAAGAUCAUAUGAUUGUUCAAUAAAGAAGCACGUCUGAUAGGCGUAGACUUCUUUCCCCGAGCCAGUCAUUAAUUUUCUGGCUCUAUAUCGGCCGUUUUUCGUGUUAGUGGUGUUAAAAAUAAGCAGCAGCCAUGGCGCUCAGCGAUGCAGAUGUUCAGAAACAGAUCAAGCACAUGAUGGCCUUCAUCGAACAAGAGGCCAACGAAAAGGCCGAAGAAAUCGAUGCGAAGGCCGAGGAGGAGUUCAACAUCGAAAAGGGCCGUCUUGUCCAGCAGCAACGUCUCAAGAUUAUGGAAUACUAUGAAAAGAAGGAGAAGCAGGUUGAACUUCAGAAGAAGAUCCAAUCUUCGAACAUGCUGAACCAAGCUCGUCUGAAGGUACUGAAAGUGCGUGAAGAUCACGUACGUAAUGUACUUGAUGAAGCUCGCAAGCGCCUGGCUGAAGUGCCAAAGGACACCAAACUGUACUCAGAGCUGCUGGUCACACUUAUUGUGCAGGCUCUCUUCCAGCUCAUGGAACCCACUGUCACCAUCCGCGUCCGUCAAACCGACAAGGCUCUGGUGGAGUCCCUGCUCGGAAAAGCUCAACAAGACUACAAGAAUAAGAUCAAGAAGGACGUUGUGUUGAAAGUCGACACUGAGAACUUUUUGUCGCCCGACACCUGUGGUGGUAUCGAGCUGGUUGCAGCCAGGGGACGUAUCAAGGUAAGUUCCGUUUCUUUAUUGGCAACUACGUAGCUUGGUAGAUCUAAGAAUAUAAAAUAUAAUUACGUCUAAAACCAAGAAAAGCUUAGCACAUGAAAUCUAAUUUCCAAUUUUUGUUCAACUAAAAACAGCGGACAGUGGAAACAGGUGAAGUGGAAAAGUUAUUUUAUGAUGACUGGAUUUUUGACACACAGAGCCUGCACAUGCUUUUAAAGUCGACUUGCUUAAGUCUGCAAAUCGUUUUUUGAAGUGAAACUUCUUUAGGCGCAUGAGGGUAAAAAUUUUACAGAUGUAACGUCACACAGGUAUGCAACGGAAGUGUCAUAUUUAACUCAAUCGGAAACAUGAGAAACGGCGCCAGUAAAUCAAACUACUAUUGAAAUUAAUUUUGUAAGGAAUUUUAAUUGGUUCAAGGAAUUCGAGGACGUUUCAAGGUGGGCGAGCCCCGAUAACAGCUUAUCAGUAGAUGCCGGUGCCCUACUAAGCCAAAGAGUAUUUUACAGAUCAGCAACACUCUGGAGUCUCGCUUGGAGCUGAUCGCCCAGCAGCUGCUGCCGGAGAUACGUAACGCCCUCUUCGGACGCAACCCUAACCGUAAAUUCACCGAUUAAUUCAACGGUGAACACGAACAAAGUUUGUUGUUACUAACAAUUUAUUUAAAAAAAAAGAAAAAUUCGUAUUUAUGUAGAACUAUGAUAAUGUUGAAAUAAGUGUUUUUUUUUCUUCCUUUGCCUAAUUAAUUAUAUCGUUAUGAUGAAGCGUACAAUUUUACCUGUUAGAAUGUUUACUGAUGUAUGUUCCCGUUGACCCUUCAUGAAAUGUGUAAUCGUGUGACCCUGAAUAUUUCUGAUUCCUGAGCAUUCCGAUGUGCCCAUUCUACUUUUAACUGUACGUUAGUUUCGCCUAUAAAAACAAUUUAUUCAUAAGUAUUUUAUUGGUGCAAUUCAUUCAAAUAAUGGAACGUUCAAUGUAAUUUAGAUAAUAUAGUUUAUAGGAUUUGGAAACGGUUUAAUUAAGAUGUUACCACAGUUAACUAAGUCGGGUUAUAAGUCUAAAAUUCAAAUCGUUAUUCGUUACAGUAAUUGACGUAUUGGCACCUUCGUCGUUCGUAUAUUAAAGCACGUCCACGAUUUGGCUUAGCAACGGUAGAUCUUUUUUUCUGUUCUACGUAUAAUAAUAUGAUUUUAAAUCUUCCAUCAAUGUUUCGAAAUAUCGGUGUAAAUGUAUCUUUAUCUUUAGUAGGCAGUGAUUGUUGUCUGUGAGAUUGGAAACGGACUGCAGCAUCCCAUGUUAUGUUCACUCAAAUCGAAGCAAAGAUUUGGCUGGGCGUAAUGUGGAGUCUUGUUUCAGUCUCACAGUGAAACAAUCCAAGCCUGCUGUGCUUAAUGUUCUUGGCAGUGUAACGAUUCGACUUGCUUUUGGCUGAAAUUAAUCCAUAGAGCACUGUUAGCUCAUAUGAAAUUAAAACUUUUAUUCCCGCAUAGCACUGUUACAAAUUCUAUGUAAAUAUAAAUAUGUGUUGAAA